rnacentral:piRNA from 2 species
UUUUCAUGCUUCUCUGGACAGUGCC